rnacentral:rRNA from 1 species
GAAUUCGCCCUUAGAGUUUGAUCCUGGCUCAGGACGAACGCUGGCGGCGCGCCUAACACAUGCAAGUCGAACGGAGCUUAGAGAGCUUGCUUUUUAAGCUUAGUGGCGAACGGGUGAGUAACGCGUGAGUAACCUGCCCUAGAGUGGGGGACAACAGUUGGAAACGACUGCUAAUACCGCAUAAGCCCACGGUACCGCAUGGUACUGAGGGAAAAGGAUUUAUUCGCUUUAGGAUGGACUCGCGUCCAAUUAGCUAGUUGGUGAGGUAACGGCCCACCAAGGCGACGAUUGGUAGCCGGACUGAGAGGUUGAACGGCCACAUUGGGACUGAGACACGGCCCAGACUCCUACGGGAGGCAGCAGUGGGGGAUAUUGCACAAUGGGGGAAACCCUGAUGCAGCGACGCCGCGUGGAGGAAGAAGGUUUUCGGAUUGUAAACUCCUGUCGUUAGGGACGAUAAUGACGGUACCUAACAAGAAAGCACCGGCUAACUACGUGCCAGCAGCCGCGGUAAAACGUAGGGUGCAAGCGUUGUCCGGAAUUACUGGGUGUAAAGGGAGCGCAGGCGGGAAGACAAGUUGGAAGUGAAAACCAUGGGCUCAACCCAUGAAUUGCUUUCAAAACUGUUUUUCUUGAGUAGUGCAGAGGUAGAUGGAAUUCCCGGUGUAGCGGUGGAAUGCGUAGAUAUCGGGAGGAACACCAGUGGCGAAGGCGGUCUACUGGGCACCAACUGACGCUGAGGCUCGAAAGCGUGGGGAGCAAACAGGAUUAGAUACCCUGGUAGUCCACGCCGUAAACGAUGACUACUAGGUGUUGGAGGAUUGACCCCUUCAGUGCCGCAGUUAACACAAUAAGUAAUCCACCUGGGGAGUACGACCGCAAGGUUGAAACUCAAAGGAAUUGACGGGGGCCCGCACAAGCAGUGGAGUAUGUGGUUUAAUUCGACGCAACGCGAAGAACCUUACCAAGUCUUGACAUCCUGCGACGCACAUAGAAAUAUGUGUUUCCUUCGGGACGCAGAGACAGGUGGUGCAUGGUUGUCGUCAGCUCGUGUCGUGAGAUGUUGGGUUAAGUCCCGCAACGAGCGCAACCCCUAUCCUCAGUAGCCAGCGGUUCGGCCGGGCACUCUGGGGAGACUGCCAGGGAUAACCUGGAGGAAGGCGGGGAUGACGUCAAAUCAUCAUGCCCCUUAUGACUUGGGCUACACACGUGCUACAAUGGCGUAAACAAAGGGAGGCAAAGCUGUGAAGCCGAGCAAAUCUCAAAAAUAACGUCUCAGUUCGGACUGUAGUCUGCAACCCGACUACACGAAGCUGGAAUCGCUAGUAAUCGCAGAUCAGAAUGCUGCGGUGAAUACGUUCCCGGGUCUUGUACACACCGCCCGUCA